UACGGAGGGUGCAAGCGUUAUCCGGAUUUACUGGGUUUAAAGGGUGCGUAGGUGGGUAGGUAAGUCAGUGGUGAAAUCUUCAAGCUUAACUUGGAAACUGCCAUUGAUACUAUUUAUCUUGAAUACUUUGGAGGUAAGCGGAAUAUGUCAUGUAGCGGUGAAAUGCUUAGAUAUGACAUAGAACACCAAUUGCGAAGGCAGCUUACUACACAGUAAUUGACACUGAGGCACGAAAGCGU
rnacentral:rRNA from 1 species